CGAAAGCCUGACGGAGCAAUACCGCGUGAGGGAGGAAGGCUCUUGGGUUGUAAACCUCUUUUCUCAAGGAAUAAGAAAGUGAAGGUACUUGAGGAAUAAGCAUCGGCUAACUCCGUGCCAGCAGCCGCGGUAAUACGGAGGAUGCAAGCGUUAUCCGGAAUGAUUGGGCGUAAAGCGUCCGCAGGUGGCAUUGAAAGUCUGCUGUUAAAGAGUCUGGCUCAACCAGAUAAAGGCAGUGGAAACUACAAAGCUAGAGUGCGUUCGGGGUAGAGGGAAUUCCUGGUGUAGCGGUGAAAUGCGUAGAGAUCAGGAAGAACACCGGUGGAGAAGGCGCUCUACUAGGCCGCAACUGACACUGAGGGACGAAAGCUAGGGGAGCGAAUGGGAUUAGAUACCCCAGUAGUCCUAGCCGUAAACGAUGGAUACUAGGCGUUGCUUGUAUCGACCCGAGCAGUGCCGUAGCUAACGCGUUAAGUAUCCCGCCUGGGGAGUACGCACGCAAGUGUGAAACUCAAAGGAAUUGACGGGGGCCCGCACAAGCGGUGGAGUAUGUGGUUUAAUUCGAUGCAACGCGAAGAACCUUACCAGGGCUUGACAUGUCGCGAAUCCCGGUGAAAGCUGGGAGUGCCUUAGGGAGCGCGAACACAGGUGGUGCAUGGCUGUCGUCAGCUCGUGUCGUGAGAUGUUGGGUUAAGUCCCGCAACGAGCGCAACCCUCGUUGUUAGUUGCCAGCACUUAGGGUGGGCACUCUAACAAGACUGCCGGUGACAAACCGGAGGAAGGUGGGGAUGACGUCAAGUCAGCAUGCCCCUUACGUCCUGGGCUACACACGUACUACAAUGCGACGGACAGAGGGCAGCGAGCAUGCGAAUGCAAGCAAAUCCCGAAAACCGGCGCUCAGUUCAGAUCGAAGGCUGCAACUCGCCUUCGUGAAGGUGGAAUCGCUAGUAAUUGCAGGUCAGCAUACUGCAGUGAAUUCGUUCCCGGGCCUUGUACACACCGCCCGUCACACCAUGGAAGCUGGUAGUGCCCGAAGUCGUUACCCCAACCUUUCGGGGAGGGGGAUGCCUAAGGCAGGACUGGUGACUGGGGUGAA
rnacentral:rRNA from 1 species